AUCGCUUCUUGGCCUUUUGGCUAAGAUCAAGUGUAGUAUCUUUUCUUGCCCUGCACAGGAGAAUGGAGCUGGGAAGCAGGUUAGUGGGGUGGGGCGGGAAUGGGAUUUUGCAAUAACCUUCCCCCAGAAGUGGGGUGGGAAUGGAGAUUUUACANNNNNCUUCCCCUGCC
rnacentral:snRNA from 1 species